AAAAAUAACCUGAACAUGUGGAUACAAUCCAUGUUUAACUGUUCCUUGGUAUAAUAUCUUGAGUUUUAAUUUUAUCAACAAACAUAACUUCAGUGGUUAAAAAUAUUAGGUUUCAAGGAAACAUUUUGCACUGCUAAUCAUUUUAAAUAAAUAUCUCAAUAACAAAAGCAGUUACUGUAGAGCAAAAUGACAACAAUAAAAAUGAUAAGCAGUUCAGUGUCUCUUCCCUAAAUGAUACAGAUGAAUUACACAACCAAUUCAGGAGUUGGGACUCUGAAAAUUAAUGUUUAUCAAAUUGUGCAGUUUUUGCUGUCAUUAUACAACCAC
rnacentral:lncRNA from 1 species